rnacentral:rRNA from 1 species
UACGUAGGGUGCGAGCGUUGUCCGGAAUUACUGGGCGUAAAGAGCUCGUAGGCGGUUUGUCACGUCGGAUGUGAAAACCCGAGGCUUAACCUCGGGCCUGCAUUCGAUACGGGCUGACUAGAGUUCGGUAGGGGAGACUGGAAUUCCUGGUGUAGCGGUGAAAUGCGCAGAUAUCAGGAGGAACACCGGUGGCGAAGGCGGGUCUCUGGGCCGAUACUGACGCUGAGGAGCGAAAGCGUGGGGAGCGAACAGG